rnacentral:lncRNA from 1 species
AUAAUUGCAGACAUUCAAGACAGCCUCGCAACUAGCGUUGUACAAGAGAUUGGCACAGAAAAUGCAACCUUUAUCCAUUGUGAUGUCGCGAUUGAAUCGGACGUCCAAAAUGCGGUGGAUGCAACAGUUGCCAAAUUUGGUAAGCUUGACAUAAUGUACAGUAACGCUGGUGUAUUGGGCAAGCCAAUAUCCAGCAUCUUAGAAGUCGAUUAUGACAUAAUUAAGACUGUUUUCGACGUAAACAUUGUUGGCAAGUUCUUUUGCGCGAAACAUGCUGCUAGAGUGAUGAUUCCGGCCAAGAAAGGUGUCAUUCUUUUCACGGCAAGUGCUUCGACAGAGGUCUACGGUGCAGCUGUCCCACACACCUAUUCGGCCUCGAAAAACGCACUUCUGGGGCUUUCUAAGAACGUUGGAGUAGAAUUAGGGGAGUAUGGAAUAAGAGUUAAUUGUGUUUCUCCUUAUUACAUUAGCACCCCGCUUGUAUUAAACGGAUUUGGAAUAGACAAACAAAUGGCGGACAAAUGGUUUGCAGCAGGAGGAAAUCUGAAAGGAGCAUUACUAGGUGUAGAGGACGUUGCAAAGGCAGUAUUGUAUUUGGCAAGUGAUGAUUCCAAAUAUGCGAGUGGUAUGAAUCUCGUUCUUGAUGGUGGUUUUAGUACCACAAAUGUGGCUUUAACAGAGGCCUACAAGAAAUUGUUUCCAUCAACUACCAACAAAACAGAGUAACCAUUGGCUUGGCAAAUGUGUGUCUCUCUCUAUAUAUGUGUGCGCGCAAAUUAUGUAUCUAUAUCAAUAAAUAUAAGGAAUAAAAGCUCGCUCGCUUUGAUCAAUUGGAUUGUAGUACGAAAUAAAGUUAAACUGAUUGAUUCAUGUUUCAUUCUUAUUAUUUCAUAAUAUCCCAAACUGAUAAAGUAUACUUCUGCACCAAUUUAAAUAGCUUAUUGAUCACGCCCAACUAUGCCUUAUAAAAAGGAUUAAGCGGUCGUUGCAAAUAUAAUCCGGUUUACAAGUUCGGAGUCGAAUCCCACAGAGAACUAAGGCUUAGCUUCAACUAUUCAAUAUUGCUAAGAAGACAAGCUCGAACAAUUCCUAAGUUAAAAUAUUAAGAUUCCUAUAUCUAAUUAACUAAAUAAUUAAAUUAGUAGAUUAACAACUAAGGAUACUACGGGUCGGAGAAAAGAUUAAGGAGGUCUAGAGUUAUGAUUUCCCUAAUUGUCGGAAUCCUUCCCGCUAUGUCUUCUAUAAUUUUGCGUAAGUAUUCUCUACCUAUCAUGAGCGCUCUGACUAUUGUAAUUCUCUUCCGAGUAAUUACGACAAUUUACUAGACAAACUCUCCUGAGUUACGCUAGCUGGCUUUAAUUACAGCUCACUUAGAUCGCACCCAAGGUUUCGUUAUCCCUAAUCCCACCUUUAAACCCUUGGUUAUUGAUUCCUCACAUACGUCGGGAGUGAUGUUAUUUAACAACUACCAAAAUAUGCACUCUCUCCCGAGUAAUACAUACUAAUUAGGCACAACUAAUUGAGGAUCCUACAAUUAACUACAACAAGAACGUUGUUGAACAAAUAGAGAUUAUACUACGACUCAAUUAUAUAAAAACAUAACAAGAAUGUAUCCUACAAAAGGUUCCAUCAAAACCCUAGAUAACAAAUUAGUUAUUCAUAAUAGUAUGUAAAACUACAGUACUAAAAGUCAUAACCAACAAUGAAAAAUCGGAAGAGGAAGGAAAAACUCGUAGAAGAAUUCUCCGUCUUACUCCUAUCGUAUCUCUGCCUCCUAAGGUCGAAUCUGUGUCUCAAAUCUGCCCAACCUCCUCAAAAUAGCGUUUUUACAUGUAUUUGUACCAAGUAGGGUCGGGCCCAGACGAAAAUAUAUUCUCUCGCGCGAAAUAGAACACUCACUCUGUAAAAUUUGCACUACCGCGCCGCAUGGGGCAACGCACCAUGCGGUGCGGCAGUGGGAAAGUUUAGAUUGCUGAUUCUGACAGGCUGCAGGAAAUUUCCAUAGGCGCGGCACACCGUACCACACGCCGCGGUAGUGGGAAUUUGCAAAAACGUAAAACAUGAAAGUUGUAGCCCUUUCAAAUAGCUUUCCAACGAUAUAUUAUGGAGUCCAAACGGACUUCUGAGCAAAAACGUUAUGUGUAUUUUACUAGACAGUACGCCAUAUACCCGCUCGAUUCUUCGUUCGUUCUAACUAUCAUCCAUUGAUCCCCGAAUACGAUCCCGACUUAAUUCCUUGGACUUUUACUCAAACUUCAAAGCUCCAAAUCAUUUGAAUUCAUUCCAUAACAUCUACAUAGCUCGGAAUCACUCCUUCAAGGCAUAAAACACAUAAUUAGUGCAAAACACUAACGAUUAAAGCUCAAACUCAAUUAAAGUGCAGUAAAUUAGAGUGUAAUAAGUGACUAAAAUACGAAAUUAUAUCCUAUCAUCACUUAUGUUUUACCUUACACUAUGUAUGGAUCAUUGUUACCCAUUAUUUUAUAACGUAUUGUAGCGUAUCAUAUCGAUUUAUGAAUAUAACGUUUGAUAGAUUGUAUUCUUUGUUGUUGUUAAAUAAUAUAUUUUAUAUUUAGUUUGAUUGUAUCAUAUUGUACUACAACUGAUAAGUUUACUAAAAUAUCCUCAAUUGGCAGAGCCAAAAUUUUUAUCUAGGGGUUUCAAAACAUAAUAAAUUAGAUAUACAUCGAAAAGUCAAGGGAAGUCAACAUAUAAUAAAUAUACAUAUAACAAACAAAUUUAUCUAGUAGUAUGGUGUAGUUUUCCGGUGAAGGGGCAUCGAUUAACACCCCUUGGUUGAAUGUGGCUCCGCCACUGCCUUUAAUUAUUUUAAAUAUUAAAUUUAUUAUGAAUUACACAUAAAAAUAAAUAAAGGGAAAAUUAUUAAGGACAGAAGCUGGUGGCUGAUAAAACUCAAAGAGAGGAACGAAGAAAAAAAGGGGGCAGAAAGGAACAAAGAAACAAAGAAAGGAAUAAAGAAAGGGCCGAAACUAUUCUUGUUAUCUUUGAUCGUGGAGUUGGCAACAGCAGAACCAAUCUCGAAAAAAAAAUGACAAAGACGAAGAAGGUUAUAAGUUGAGAUUUGGUGUUAAAAAAAACAUAUAAAGGGUAAAAUAGAAUUAUGGAGUAAUAAGUUAUGACAUAAUUGAAAAGAAAAAUAGGAAAGAAUUCCACCGCCUUAAAUCGGUUGUUUAAAAAAAGGGUCUUUUUAUUGUUCUAGAACAAUGGAUUUAACAAUACAAUACAGUUAAUUUUAACUAAACAAUCAAAACAAACAUUAUUUUAGGAUAACAAUAAAAUACAAUAUAAUGGGUAACAAACACCCAAACAAGCUGUUAAAUUUGGUAUGAUUAACGUGUUGUACAUUAAUAUGAUGUUAUAAAUUAAUGCAACACUAGCGAAGGCUCUCAAGCAAUUCUUAUCUCUACCUUUCAUCUCAAACCAAGCUACUUGUGAAAUCAAUUUAUAUUUUCUUGCAUCAGGUAUAGUAUAUAGAAGUUUUCCCCAUUGAAUGAACUGCAGCCCCCCAACUGUUUGAACCUUCUAAAACGAUAUUGUUCAAAUCUAUGUCUGGCAUGUUUCAUGUAGUCAAAACUAUCAUUAUUGUUCGCAUUUGUAACCUAAUUAACAACAUCAAAAAGGUCAUUAGUUUUCCAUAAUUAGUGUAACAAAUAAGAAAUUGAGAAAAAGUAAGUCACUUCAUUUUUUCCAUUUUUUAUGGCACAAUUUAAUUUCUUUAAUAGUUUGUUCAAAAUAAGAAUGACGCGUUAAUGUAUUUGGAGACAAUUUUUACUUAUUUCCAUUAUACGUUUAAGAACAUGCUUGAGAAAUGUCAUGAUUGUAUACUAGUAAAAUCAGGGAUAUAGCAUACCCUGAUUUCCCGGAGAAGAAAGCGGAAAAGGGGCAUGGACACGCGAGACUGAAAUCGAGGCCGGAAACCUUUCGCUUCGAGACACAUGAAAGAAGAACGAUGUGUUCAUCACCGGGUAUGAUGAAGCAACGCUCCCCGGACCCAGAACGAGUUCUAAAACCUCGAAAAACUCGAUAAACGAUUACACACGACGGAUAAAGGGCCGUGAUAUUCAUACCUCACCAGAUAUCAUGGUGCAGAUCUUGCUCGAUGUCGAUUACGAAUCAGUAAUUAACGAGAAAGGAAAUUUUUUGCUCUUUUUAGACUUGUUCUAGGCAUGAAACUCUCCUACUAUAUAAAUGGGAGGUUUUUUCUUUUUAUGGACACAUUGUAACACGCAAAUCAGGGCACUACAAAUUCAUUUUAUGCUAUUUAGCCAUUGCAAAAGUUCGUACUUAACUAUUUAUUCUUCAUUCGUAAUUGGGUUCGAACCAAGGGUCCAAUCGAGGGCAAAACUACUAUUCAACCUAGGCUCGAGCUAGGCUGUAACAUUACGACUGGUUUGAUCAUUCAUUUUGUCUUUAACUCAUUUAUCUAGUAUUCCUGAUUAUUUUUGUUGAAUCAAUCCACAUAUCCUUAAAACCGCAUACAAAUUUAAUUGUAAUCCGAUUUAAGGCUAAACAGUUUGGUGCCCACUGUGAGGCUAAGGAUAAUAGUGAUAAUUUGAUAAAAAUUGCCAGAACAUACCCUAUUUUACGCUUGCUCUUUAAAGUCUUAAUUUUAGGUUAGCCCAAAAAUGUCGAACUCUCAGUCUGCCCACUUGAACGUUGAUGUUGAGUCUCGCCAUCAUGGCGAAAUAUUAAUUUGCUACAUAGAUACAAGUUACCUCUUACUGAUCCCAAUGGUGUCCCAGUGGACGAUUCGGUUGAUGCUAACUCACAUGUGGCCAUCGACGUUAAUUUGCCAACUGAUCCCGAAAACAAUGUUCACGGAGGACCCCGACCAACAGCUCGAGAAGCGCCAGAAGACAAAGGUGAUAGGGUAAGCCUGCGACUAAUCUUCGAAAUGUUGCAGGCUCAACAGGAGGCAAUAACGCAGCUACAGAAUCAAGGCCAUGCCCCCAGUAGGGUCAAACCUAAACAAUCCUGGAAAAGCACUCAAAGAAAUGAACAAAUCACCGAGAGACCGAGUGAAGCUGAGUCUGAGGUCAACUCCAAGAUAGUAAAAAUGCUUGAAGCAUUAACGAAGCGAGUGGAAUCAGGUGAGAAGAAAAUUGUGGGUAAUGACAAGAAGGUGGAAACAUACUAUUCCAGGGUCGAUCAAAUUCCAGGAGCACCCCCGAUAUUGAAAUGAUCAGAUUCCAAGAAGUUUAUUCAGAAACCUUUUCCUCCGAGCACGACACCGAAGCCAAUCCCAAAGAGGUUUUGUAUGCAUAAUAUCCCCAAGUAUAACAGAACCACGGAUCAUCCGAAUGAUCAUGUGACCUCCUAUACAUGCGCAAUCAAAGGGAACGACUUGGAAGAUGAUGAAAUCGAGUCGGUAUUACUGAAGAAGUUUGGGGAGACUUUGUCCAAAGGAGCGAUGAUAUGGUAUCACAACAUAACCCCAAAUUUUAUUGACUCAUUUGCUAUGCUUGCAGAUGCUCUCAUGAAGGCUCAUGCCGGUGCCAUCAAGGUCGAGACUAGAAAGUCAGACCUUUUCAAGGUUAAACAAAGAGACAAUGAGAUGUUCAGGGAGUUCGUGUCGAGGUUCCAGAUGGAAUAGAUGGACUUGUCUUUGGUUGCAGAUGAUUGGGCCGUUCAGGCAUUCACUUAGGGGCUUAACACCCAAAGUUUCUUGGCCUCUCAACAGCUAAAUCAAAAUUUGGUAGAGUACUCGGCGGUGACCUAGGCCAACGUCCACAACAGGUACCAGUCAAAGAUCAUGGUCGAGGAUUACCAACUUGGAGCUCCUUCUGGUCUGUGUACACCAUCGGCGGAUGACAGGUCUAAGAGAGUUGUUGAUCAUGAUCCAAGACCGGUCUAGGAUCGGUACUAACCAUAGAGUGGGGACCGAAGGGGAAAUGGGUCCGGGUAUCACCUAAUAAGGGACAAGAAGAGAAGCGAUCAAGGACCCAAUAGUCGAGGUAUGAUGAGUAAAAAUGGUUUCGACAAGACGCUCGGGGGUAGGGAAGCACAGAGGCUAUUGUAGUAUAACUUCAUCGUUGAUGCUGCCAGCAUCGUGUCAACCAUCAGGCGUAUCAAAGAGACCAAGUGGCCCUGACUAUUACAGUCCAACACUACUCAAAGAGAUCCUAACUUGAUGUGUAAGUAUCACAACACUCAUGGUCACGGGACCGAGGAGUGCCGACAAUUGAGAGAAAAAGUUCCCCGGUUAUUCAACAACGGACACCUUUGAAAAUUUCUGAGUGAUCGAGCCAAAAAUCACUUCAGGAAUAGGGACACUAACAAACAGGUCAAACAAGAGGAGCCUCAACACAUCAUCAACAUGAUCAUCGGAUGGGUCGAUGUCUCCUAAAGGCCAAUAAUAAAGCGCACUAAAGUAUCUAUCACAAGGGAAAACGCACCCGAGAUUAUGUCCUGGAGGGAACCAUUUCGUCCAGCGACGAGGAUGCUGAGGGCAUCGUACAACCUUACAACGAUGCACUGGUAAUAUCAUCCAAGAGACAAAGUUCUAUGUGAUCGAAGAGGACAUGAGGUAUAACGCUAUAUUCGGAAGGCUGUGGGUUUACAACAUGAUGGUGGUACCUUCGAACUUGCAACAUUGAAAUUCCCUUCACCGAUAGGAGUCAAGAAGGUCUAUGGAGCAGCCGACCACAAAGGAGAUAUUCGCAGUCGACCAAGUAAUCCCAGUGCCUACAAUUUCAACAUCAAAGAACAUGAAGCUAACCAAAAAGCAAGAAACUAAAUAGCAAUCACUGAUGCCGAUCUCGGAUGAACUAGAGGAACGAGGAGUAGAUGAGGAGGAUGAUUACAGAGUUCCAAGAUCGUUCAUAGUUACUAAUGACACCAACACUACCAAAUCGUUGAUCGAAGAGUUGGAUCAAGUCAUAUUAAUCAAACACCUACCGGAUCGAAAGGUAUACUUGGACAUGGGGUUAACCCCCGAGCUCAGAAAAAAACUCAUUGAUUUUCUUAAAUCUAAUAUAGAUUGUUUCGCUUGGUCCCUACUUGACAGGACAGGGAUCCCACCGGAUAUACCUACUCAUAAGAUGAGUUUGGACACGAAGUUCCAUUCAGUUAAGCAAAAGAGAAGGCCGCAGUCCGAGGUCAAACAUGCGUUCAUCAAGGAUGAGGUAUCCAAACUCCUUAAAAUAGUGUCCAUCUAGGAAGUUAAAUACCCAGACUGGUUAGCUAAUGGAAGUUUAUAUUGACGAUAUGUUAGUCAAAUCCCUACAAGCAUAUGACCAUUUGAAACAUUUGCAGGAGACCUUCGACAUACUAAAGAAAUACAAUUUGAAGCUGAAUCUGGAGAAGUGCGCAUUCGGGGUUGGAUCGGGAAAAUUACUCGGGUUCAUGGUAAUUACAGGAAAUGUAAUUAGGCAAUCUAUUAAAACUGUAAAAUUAACUAACAACGAGGCCGAGUAUGAGGCCAUGAUUAUAGGUCUAGAAUUAGCUAAAAGCCUUGGGGUCGGGUAAUCAAAGCUAAGUGCGACUCCCUCCUUGUGGUAAAUCAAGUUAACGGGAAGUUUGAAGUAAAAGAAGAACAAAUGCGAAGGUACUCGGACAAAUUACAGGUAACCCUGCAUCAAUUCAGGGAAUGGACCUUGCAGCACGUACCCCAAGAUUAGAACAAUGAGGCCGAUGCAUUGGCUAACUUGGGAUUGUCGGUUGAUGCCGAUGUAUUUGGUUCGGGAAUAGUAGUGCAGCUAAUGAAGUCGGUGAUAGAAAAAGGCCAUGCGGAAGUAAACUCAACAAGAUUAACUUGGGAUUGGAGGAACAAAUACAUAGACUACUUGAAGACCGAAAAAUUGCUUUUUGAUCCCAAUGAGUCAAGAGCCUUGCACACCAAGGCUGCCAGAUUUAGCUUGGUCAAAGAUGCAUUGUUCAGAAGAACCUUCAACGGCCUGCUAGCCCAGUGCUUGGGAUCGGGAGAGACCGAAGACGCCAUGAGAGAAGUUCACAUAGGCACUUGUAGGAACUAUUUGGGGGCAGAAUCUUUGGUUUAGAAAUUAAUUAGGGUCGGCUAUUACUGGACCAAAAUGGAGAAAGAUGCGAAGGACUUCGUAUGGAAAUGCGACGAUCGCUAGAGACAUGCCCAGAUGAUCCAUUAACUAGGAGAAAUGCUCCAGUCGAUUUUGUCCCCAUGGCCAUUUAUGAAGUGGGGAAUGGACAUCGUCGGUCCCCUACCAUGGGCACCCGAUAAAGUUCAAUUCAUACUAUUCAUGACCGAGGAAGAAAAAAGUCAUUGAUUUAAUCCAGGACCACAUAAUAUGUCGAUUUGGGAUACCAGUCGAGAUCGUUUGCGAUAAUGGAAAGCAAUUCAUCAUCAGCAAGGUGAAUAAAUUCUUCGAAGAUCACAAGAUCAAGAAGAAAAUAUCAAUGCCUUUUCACCCUAAUAGGAACGGGCACACAGAAUCAACAAACAAGACCAUACUUCAAAACCUGAAAAAGAUGUUGACCUGUGCGAAAGGGAAAUGGAGGAAAAUCCUACCCGAAGUCCCGUGGGCAUACCAUAUGACUUCAAAAUCUAGCACCGGGACCAUCCUGUUUUUCUUAGUCUACGGAGCAGAAACCUUAAUACCAAUCAAGGUGGGAGAAUCGAGCCUCAGGUUCCAGUAUGCUUCUGAAGAGCCAAGCGGCAAGGCCAUGAUCAUGAGCCUGGAACUAUUGGAUGAAAGGAGGGAAGCCGCCCUGGUCCGGUUAGCCGCCUAGAAACAAUGAAUAGAAAGGUAUUACAACCGAAGAGCCAGCCUCCGACACUUUCAAGUAAGGAACUUGGUGUUGAGGAAAGUAACAUUACACACUAGUAACCUGAACGAAGGGAAGUUGGGAUGAACUGGGAAGGACUGUAUCAAUUUGUCAGAAUAACCGGCAAAUGCUUGUAUAAACUCGAAGCGAGAAAUGACAUACAACUACCGAACAACUAUAAUAUGACACAAUUAAAGCGGUAUUACUGCUAAGUUAUGAAAUCAAUUACUUUUUAAUCAUGUUAUAAAUCGAACUAGAGUACGGAUAUGGCUAUUAGGUCUGAAAGCACAUGUUGCACACUUUUUCCUUGAACUGGUUUUAUCUCAAAGUAGGUUUUUCGGCAAGGUUUUUAAUGAGGCAACUGUAAAAUGUACUAACUUAGAUUUGAAGACUGGUUUCAAACCGAAGUCAAUGACUGUUUACUUCAGGCCAACAAUAUCUAAGCCCUCACAAGUUCGAUCUUGAAUACCGGGGGCCAUUACCCUCGAAUUAAGGUCUUUAGCAAGGGAAAAAGAAAACUUUAUGUGCUAAAAGCUCAGGCUUAGUGGUUAGGAUUUAUUGUAAGGGCCAAACGAUCGUAUGAACCGUGCCCACAUAGUCCACUCAAGCCACGACACAAGUUUUUAUGCGUUUUUGAUCGUGUACCUUGCAUACUAAGAAUUGAAAGAAAUUUCCACUUUCCUUACACUUUGUUACUACGCGUUUUUGCUUUUUCGAACCCAUAUCCUAAAAUCCCAUGGGUUACCCUACUCAGGGAUUGUCUCCUUAUGAAAAUUUGGACGACCCAGGCUACCGAAUCAUGGAGGCACCAAACCUAUUAGGCAAUGCCAAAAUAUAAAAGGCUACGACCAUCCUAAAAAGGGCUCGGAGACAUCCGAAGUUCAUAACCAGAAAGUAAGUCCUUUACAAAAAUUCAAAACCUACUAAAAGGUCACCCUCGGCAAGAACAUCGUCUAAAAACACUUAAGCAUAUUGAAAAACUCCGGUCUCACUGAGGGUUUGAAGCCGCAAGGAAACAAAGUUGCAUCGAAGUCGAGCAUCAUUCGAACCUCCAAAAACGAAUGCCCCAGAACUACAUCUGAUUCUAUGCUAAGGCAUCAAAAAUAAUACGCAAACAUAAAUUACAAGAAGAUGCUAGAAAAGUAAAGACACAAUAUUCCUAGAAAGGGAAAAAAUUUAUAUAUGUUCCAAAGUAUAUUUACAAAGGCCCGAUCUAAUUGCCUUAGAAUGCAUAAGAAAAAAAAUAGGAAAAUACUAAUGCUCUAUGCCUGGUCUUCACCGGGGCUCGACUCAUUGCCAGAAAUGUCGGAACCCUCGGAGCCCUCAGAACUCUCAAAGACUUCGUGACUCUGAGGCUCGUAGAGCUCAUUUUCCUCGGCCUUGAGCCUCCUAGCUUCUUCAAUCUUGGAUGAUAGGCCAAAACUAUGGGCAUGGAUCUCUUCGAGGGUCUCUCUUCGGGAUAGCCGCUUUAUGUAUUCAGUCUUCGUCUUUAAGCGGGUCUCAGUUGCCUCCAUAUCGGCCUUGUGCUGGGCCAUCAUUUCCUUGGUAUCAGCAGAGGUUGUAUCUAAUUUUGACCUCAAUGCCGCAUAUUCUCUCCCGAGAGCAUCCCGGUCAAUGACGAAUGAGUUCAGCUGUUCCCGAAGAUCAUCAUUCAGUCGAGACCACUUAUCAGCUUUGUCUUUCGCUAUCCAAAGUUUGUUCUCAACCGAUGCCAACUCCGCCUUCAUAAUUUCUUUCUCGGAAGCCAGUAGGUUCAUCCUACCAUUCCACACUUCGUUCGUGGCCUUGGCCUCGUCUAUCUCAGCCCACAACUGGUUGAUCAGCUCUAUCUUCUGUUGGACCUGUGAAGCCGUACUGUUAGCCACCAUGACUAAGUGCUCGUUUUUAGCUUCAAAGAUCUUUACCUUCUCAACCAGGUUGUCGUGUUCCUGCUUCACUGUUAAGGCCUCCUUUUGAUCUUUUUCCAGCUCGGCCUGGAGAAUCGGGAGGUCAUUAAGGGCCCCGUCUUGUUUCUCAUUAAGAGCUCUGUAUAUGUCCUUCUUACGGACCUGCUUUUUGAACUCGAACUUGAGUUGGCUAAUCUCCAAGCGGUACCGGAGGACACUUUCAUGAUGAAGCACUGAAGCCUGUAAAAUAAUGAAAUUAGUAGAGGACAUCAAAAACCUAAGUGGGGUUCACAUAGGGGUAUAAAAGGGUUAACGCCUUACCCGGUUCAGCGCCUGAUAUGCUUCCUUAAAGAGACUUGAUGUGUCCACCUCCUUCAUCUUUUCCUGGUACUCUACGGUCACCAAGCAUCAGAGGUAGCUAGAUACACCCACCGGAGCAUACAGGACUUGACGAGCGCAAAUCACAUACUUAAAUAUGCUCGCUAGUUGAAUAUAGUAUAAUAUAACAUUGUAUCCACAUGGAUUGGAAUUAAAUAGUAUUAUCAUAGUUUGUAGCUAGAUUUCUAUCCAAGAUGCUCAACAAUUUAGAAUGUUGAUUUAAAACUAAAAUUAACUAAGAUUCUAAACUAUUGACUACUGACAAACAAAGCAAGUAAUAAUCAAAGAAGGUUAUUAAUUGGGAGAAGAUAGGGUUGAUAGGAUAGGUGUAAGACAAAUGUCUGGGAUCUAACUCUAGUUAAUUCACUUCUAAUGUUCAAGUGAGUCUCUCGAAUUCACUUGGUUAUUAAUUCAAUUGUUUAGUAGAACUCCUCUCUCGAUUAAGUCUCAAACUCACAAGAUGAACCAAUUUAAGCUCGUGAAGAUAUGCAAGAAUUCGUAGUGGAUUGGUCUUUAAGAGAACCUCUCUCGAUUAUCCUCCUUACUAGGCUUAAUCAACAAUUAAACUAGCCUUUUCCUAUUACUAAAAAGAAUUAAUGAAUUCAACCAACAAAAUAGAAUGCAAAAAUAUCACAAGUUAUGCCUCUCUCGGUUACAUGAACAAGUGAAUAUAGAUGCAACGGAUAACACAUCUAAAACGAUUCAAUAUAUAAAAACUAGAGUUAUAAUCCAUAACAAGUAUCAAGACACCAAAUCCAUCAAACUCUAAAGAGAACUACUCCAUAGAUAUGAAGUAAUUCAUCACAAAUGUUUAAGUUAAAGGAAAACAUAAUACGAUCCAAACUCUUAUCUUGAGUGAGGAUUGAAUGAUGAAAUCCUUAUGCUUUUGCUUCUCCACCUCCUCUUUGGAUUCCUUAGGUCUAAGAUGUGUCAAAAGUCCUAAAAAUAACAUUUUCCCAUGUAUAUAUACCAAGUAGGGUCGGGCCCAGACGAAACCACCUUCUCCUACGCGAAAUAGGACAUUUACUCCAUAAAAUUUGUAUAGGCACCGCAUGGGGCGACGCGCCAUGCGGUGCAGCAGUGGACUUUAUUUGGGAGCUUGCAAUUCACAACAAUCAGCAACAAUUUGGGCAGUCUCACCACACCACGCGCCUCGGCUAUGGGUUUUCCCAGAGCUCACCUUUUUGCUUGAUUUUUGAAGUUCAGACGUGGUUCUUGAUCCUGAACACGAUCCCGACUUAAUCCUUUGAGAUUUUACUCAUACUUCAAAGCUCCAAAUAGCUCGAAUUAUCUCCAUAACAUCUACAUCACUCGGAAUCAGUCCUACAAGGCAUAAAACACAUAAUUAUUACAAAACACUAGCAAUUAAAGCUCAAACUCAAUUAAAGUGUAGUAAAUUAGAGUGCCUUAAACGAGUAAAACACGGCUUUAUAGCCUACCAUCAACACCCCACACUUAAACCAUUGUUCAUCCUCAAGCAAUCAAACUACACUUUAUAUAGACACGACCUUAUUGAACAACUUUCCUAACUCAUCACACCAAGAAUAUUUAAAAUAGAUUAAGCACAAUAGUGUAACAUCUUCACCUCAGGAUUUGACUCAAAAGCACCACGUAUUAUUCAUAACCCACUCAUGCAUAGAGAUCGACGACAAUACCUUUUCUUUAUGAAUCAACUUCCCUCACACAAGAUAGAAAGAAUUCACUCACUCACAGAAACAAUAUUCAUAUGCAACAGAAGAUGAACCAUAGGCCUGUCUGUAGUGUACUACUCUACUAAUUGAGCUCAUUCAGUCAAGCAUUAAGUAGGACUUUAAUUGGUUGUAGUGUAGGCUGCGGGACGAGUAUGAUACAUUUAGAUAUAAAACUGACAACACCUCCCUAAGCACUUUAUUACAUAUACUUUAACAUUCAAAACCCCACACUUAUGUUAAAUCAUAACUCCACGUUCACAUUAAUAUACAUUGAAUCCCUACUUCUUUAAGUGCAGUUACAUCAUCAGUUACCACUAUCAAGGAAUAUUUUUUGCAACAAUACAACUAUAAUUCCGUUUUCUUUAUCAAUUCAAGUGGCUCUUACUUUUUCAAAACAGUGUACCUUUCUCUUAUUUCAUUAGUUCCACUCAAAAACCAAAUCAACCACCCCACACUUCAACUUUUACCAAGUUCAUAACAAUUUAAGUACUCAUGGGAGGUGAAAAAGUUCAAAUAGAUGGUCAACUCAAACAAAUGGGUAAGGCUUGUAAUGUGGUUGCCAAAGAAAUUGGAUUAUAGACUCAAUGGGGUGAACUACAAUACAUAACAAUUAGGCGGGUAAAAGCAUAUAACUGACUCAAUAAAGAAUUGCCUCUAUCACUUUCAAGACUGAACAAAACUACUAUUUCGCUUUGCACACACACGGGGAAAGUUCUAGACAUCAAAUGCAAUGCACAAAAUAGCACAAAAUCUCACACACACAUGGCAGAUAACUCACUCAGGAUUGGACUCAUCAAGACACUCUAGUCAAAGAAGUUAAGCAAAGUUAAGAUCAUACAAUUUAAGGUACUUAUACAAGAGUCAGAAAAUGAGUCUAAGCAUCACAACUAAAGCAUUUACUAUCAUCAAGGCAUAAUAAAGUCAAGAUAUAAUUCUUUCAUUUUAAAUCAUAGCACAAGGUUUCCUACUCCUAACAAAAACAAAACUAACUACACCCGAUUCAAACAAAACUCUUGGAAAAGAACCACUGCACAAAGAAAAACUAAGGGAGAAUUGUUACACUACCUACAAAAGAAAAUCUUUUUGGUCUUUUUCCUUCCGACUUUAAUCCCUCAAGAAACUGGUCGGUAUGAUAUCCAUCGUCGAGAAAAAUCAAAAAUAUUAAAAAUUUUAUGUUUUUUCAAUUUUUUUUCUAUCUAACUACUACAAAUAACAAAACAAAAAGUAAAACUAAUAUACAUACAACAUACAAAUAUCCCUCAUCUCACACUUCAAGUUGUGGCAUAUUCCCUAAGCAUCAGGCAGAUGAAACUUCUCUGAAUUUUCUUCUUUUCCGAGAACUUAUGAACUCCACCCCUAAUUCUGAAUUCAUUCCUCAUUUUUGCUCCUUGGAAUUCUUUAUGGAGCUCAUUAAACUCAAUUCUUCUGAGGAUACCUACAAGACCCGCUCUUUUCUUUCUUUCUUGUCCUCAUCUUGAGCAGUAAAUUGCUCAUUUAUGAUCAUCCUCAACUUGUUCCUGCAUUCUUUCACAUGAUCAAUCCAUGUAUCUUCAUGUAAAUCACCAAAAAUAAAUCCACAUGAUCAGGGUUAGAAUAAGAAAACAAAGAAGAAAGAUCAAGUGAAUAUUCCUCUGGUAUGUCCAAGACCAUUUGUUUCUCAUUCUCUUCUACUACAUGUUGUAGAUGUGGAAAGGUGGAUGGGGGUUUGAACUCUUCUUCCGUGGUUUGACACUCAAAACAGCCUUAUUUUCAAUCAUCUCAGUUGAAUCAGAGUCCUCUUGUAUUGUGGAAAUCUCCGUCUGUAGACGCUCAUCCUCUUGGGUAGGUUCAUUCUCGUAGGGUAUCUCCUCCAUAUAUUCACCAUCACAACGCAAUGAGCUUUCUGAAAGUGUACUUAUUAUUAGACUUUCUUGCAUUGUUAGGUUGUUAAUGGCGUCAUCAUCUUGUGUAAAUCUCUCUUCCACCUUAUUUAUUAACUUAUACACAAGCUCUUCUAAACUAACAUUCUCCCCUUGAGGUGCGUGUCUGGCUUUGCUCCCAUUCAAGUUAUAAUAAGGGUAUUCAUCCUAACCAGAGUCAAGAUUGUGCCCAUAUGAAUCCUCAUGCCUGUAUGGACUAGAAACAGAGUGAGACUGUUCAAAAUACGAACCAUAGAAAGAAUACAUACCUGCUUUACAGUCAACCCAUAGAUGAUUUCCACUGCAUUUAAAACACAUAGCAGACCGCUGAUAAUAUUCAGCUUCUAACUCUUCAACCGUUUUCUUAGGCUUGUAUUACUCCAUCUUCACAGUAUUUAGAGUUCAAUAUCUACAGUAUUUUUCUCCAACAUGUUAGGUACUAAAAAACCAAUCUUGAAAAGAAGUUAACUAAUAAAGAAAAUAAAAUAGAAAGGGAAAAAGAAAAGAAAAAACAAACAAACUUAAUUCCUGAAUUAGCACCAAAAACUAUUUCAAACACCAUUUAUUUCCAAUCCCCGGCAACAUCGCCAAAAUUUGAUGAGUGCAAAAUACACACUUAAAUAUGCUCGCUAGUCGUAUAUAGUAUAAUAUAAUAUCGUAUCCACAUGGAUUGAAGUUAAACACUAUUAUCGUAGUUUGUAGCAAGAUUGCUAUCCACGAGGCUCAAAACAUUAAAAUUAUGUGAUUUAAAACUAAAAUUAACUAGUGACAAACAACGCACGUAAUAAUCAAAGAAGGUUAUCAAUUGGGAGAAGAUAGGGUUGAUAGGAUAGGUGCAAGACAAAUGUCUGGGAUCUAACUCUAAUUAAUUCACUUAUAAUGUUCAAGUGAGUCUCUUGGAUUGACUUGGUUAUUAAUUCAAUUGUUUAGUAGAACUCCUCUCUCGAUUAAGUCUCAACCUCACAAGAUGAACCAAUUUAAGCUCGUGAAGAUAUGCAAGAAUUCGUAUUGGAUUGGUCUUUAAGAGAACCUCUCUUGAUUAUCCUCCUAACUAGGUUUAAUCAACAAUUCAACUAGCCUCUUCUGAUUACUAAGAAGAAUUAAUGAAUUCAACCAACAAAAUAAAAUGCAAAAAUACCACAAGAUAUGCCUCUCUCGAUUAUAUGAACAAUUGAAUAUAGAUGCAACGGUUAACACAUCCAAAAUGAUUCAAUACAUAAAAACUAGAGUUAUAAUCCACAAACAAGUAUCAAGACACCAAAUCCAUCAAACCCUAAAGAGAUCUACUCCAUAUAUAUAGAGUAAUUCAUCACAAAUACGUUUAAGUUAAAGCAAAACAUAAAACGAUCCAAACUCUUGUCUUGAGUGAGGAUUGAAUUAUAAAAUCCUUGUGCUUUUGCUUCUCCACUUCCUCCUUAGCUUCCUUAGGUCUAAGAUGUGUCAAAAAACUUCAAAAUAAUAUUUUUAUAUGUAGAUAUACCAAGUAGGGUCGGGCCCAGAUGAAAUCACCUUCUUCUAGCCGAAAUAGGAUUCUGACUCAGUAAAAAAUGCACAGGCGUGCCGCAUAGGCUGACGCGCCAAGUGGGAAAGCAGUGGUCUUUAUCUGGGAGUUUGCAAUUCAUAACAGAUAGCAACAAUUUGGGCAGUCGUGCCACGCCACGCGCCACGACUGUGGGUUUUUUCUCAGAAUUCACCUUUAUGCUUGAUUUUUGAAGUUCAGACGUGGCUCUCGACUCCCGAACGCAAUCCCGACAUAGUGCUUUGGGCUUUACUCAGACUUCAAAGCUCCAAAUAGCUCGAAUUAACUUCGUAACAUAUACAUCACCCGGAAUCACUCAUACAAGGAACAAAACACACAAUUAGUGUAAAACACUAGCAAUUAAAGCUCAAACUCAAUUAAAGUAAAGUAAAUUAGAGUGCAUUAAGCGACUAAAACACAAGUUUAUAGCCUACCAUCAAGACUCGGGCAUCCUUCAGGAUUAAGAGAACAAUCGUUCUUUUGCGCUCGGGGGUCCAUGCUUGGAACGGGAAAUUGCUUCACUAGUUUUGUGCUCGAACUCGGCCUGCCAGCUCCCGAGGGCACGUAUUUCUUCAAAACCUCUAGGUGACUAAUCCCGAAAAAGUCUUCUAGUACAGCCAUGUCCAUGCCCUCUAAAAAUGCAUUGAGGGUAUCAUUUGGACCCUGCGCCCCCUCACUUGUCUUUUCUUUGUCUGCUUGGGCCUCUUCGAGCAUGGACUUGAUAUUGGAGGGCAUCUCCAUGAUGUCAAAUGACGUUAUUCACUUCCUUCGGAAGAGGAGCGGCUUUCUGGGAGGCCGCAACCUCCACCCCCCUCAGGUUCUUAGAGGGGUAUUGACCUCAUGGUCCCCUUUCUCGGCCGUCGCCUUCUCCCCCUCAUUAAGGAUCAACCCAUGAGCGACGAAGUGGUCGUCUUCUUUGGACUCAUCCUUAAGCUAGUAGAGAGAGUCAAGAUCUGGUACCUUGGACUUGGUGGUCUUCUUGGGUUUCCGAACCCGGGUGGCCACUCUAUUCUUCCUCUUUGCCUCAGUGUCCGGGGAACAUGAGGACUUUCUCUUUCUUAUCUUCUCCUCCUUUGUGGCAGCCCUGGGUUGUCCUGUAAUGGAGGGCUUUCCAGAAAAUGAUGCAUCCUCAUCCUCAUCCAGCGGCCUAAGUUCGAUGGUCCUAGGAGACCUUUAAGAAAAUAGAAAAGGUUAGCACUAUGUAAGUUGAGAGCAUAGUGAUAACUAUUUAGGAAAGAACCUCACUAUGAGAAUGGGCCUCCCAUUUGCCCUUCGAAAGGUUGUUCCAUGUGCGCUCAGAGUACAUCAUCUUCUUACAUAUCCCCUUGAUCCAUUCCUUUAACUAGGGGAUUGCAUCAGGAACUUGGGCAACAACUGCACGGCUACAAAUACAUGCAAUGAGAGAAUGAGUAAAAAGGAAAAAAUACCCAAGAAAGACGAUACUUAUGGGAUGUGUUCCACUCCUCAGGGAAUGGUAGCAACUCGAGGAGAAUUAGGUUGUCAGUUUUCACUAGAACAAACCUCCCUUGCCAGCCUAGGUCUCGGUCCUCGUCAAUGCUCGAGAAAGGAGUCUUGCUUGCUCGGCAAACAAGGUUGAUCAGUUUCCCUCAGAAGAUUUGGGGACUGUACAUGCGGAUUAGAUGGUUGAGGGUGAACCAAAGAGCUUUGGUAUUAUUCACAAAAUGGCAUAAGAAAAUCACGAUCGUCCAGAAGGAUGGGUGGAUUUGCCCAAGGCACACCUGGUACCUUUUGCAGAAAGCAAGGACUAUGGGCUCCACCGGGGCGAGCAUGAAGGGGUAUGUAUAAACACUCAGAUACUCCUUCACGUGAUUGGCAAUAUUGUCAUUAGGUCCGGGAACGACCACGUCCUUUCCCUCCCAUUUACAGUCCGCUAAAACUACAGGUAGGGUUUCUUCAGUGAUGGAGCAUAUGUAUCUCCAUGAUCCCUCGCCUCAGUCUUGUUAUCUAGAGGCCUUCUCGACCUUGAAAUUGUCCCCGAUAGAGCAGCCCCAGGGUAUGAAGCUCUUCAUAGGGGGGUUCCUGAGCCACCUCGGGAACGUCCACCUCAGCAUCUGUGGUUGGGUGGGAAGAUGAAGGGGCAGCCUGUUGAGGCACUGACUUAGAAGUUUUUGCCAUUGUAAUCUGGAAAAUAUAGGUUUGAAGAAAAUAUGAAGAUUUGAAGAUGUUAUGAAGGUAUGGCGGUCUAGGUUGAAAGAUCAAUGAACAAUGUACGAAGAUAUGGAGAAGUUAAAGCCGUCAGAAUGUUCGAAGGCAAAGUCUAGAAUCGGAAAGUGGAAGAAGUGAUAGGGAUUGAGGCUUUUAUAGGGGAAAAGGAAAUCAAUGCGCGAUGUCUCACAUUCGAAGACAGUCAGACGAUGACUGACACGUGCUCCAAGUCAGAACAACGCAACUGAUGGGACGUUUUGAUUUACCCGUCAUCUCGGUUAUAACGUACGAUGGAAGGAACCUGGGUUCAUCUAUCGUUUCCCAUUGUUUCAACAAACCUACUCUCCAGAAAAUGAGGGGACUGUCUGUAUAUGGAUAAAAUCAUGGAUAGAGCUGUAGACAACAAAUUUACGUCGAGAAAAUAAAAUCAAGAUCGAAAAUAUUGCAGCAUUCGUAGUAUUUAAUUUCAAAUAAUAUGAGUGUACAAUCUCUAUGAUUCCUCUAAUUCUACUUUUCUAAUAUAAAUUCAAAGUCAUCUAAGCUUGAUCUUGGAUUUGAAUUUGAUUUAUCCGUCGCGAAUAAUUUGAUUUUUGCCAUGAGUUGAAUCACGAACAAGUAGCCUUGAUCUUGAAUGCCUUGUAUUUAAUUUGAAUUCAUUCUUGAUCUUGAAUACUUGAAAUUUAUGUUGAAGUGCUUGAAUGCUUGAACACUUGCAGUUUGUAGAGAAUUGUGGCCUUUGAUCCACGAGCUCCCUUGUGUCUUAUUGUUAUAACUUCUAGUGUCUUUCUGAGUUAUGAAGACCCGUAUUUAUAGUUGUGGAAGGAAGAGUUAUGACAAGAACAAACUCUUUUCGGCCAAUCAAUUUGAAGUGUGACAAGGCCACAUUUGAUUGGCCAGAACAUGUCACUUAUACACGUGGCGCAGUUUAUUGGCCUUUUAAUGUGACUUAGCAUGCCUUGUCAUUUUGACACAUUAAUCCUAUUGGAUGUUUAGUUUUACUUGGCGUGCCAUGUCAUUUGACACGUGGCACCAAACUGAGCCUCUAGGAAGAUGAUAUAUUGGACUUAAUGAAGUGGCCUCAUUGUAUUUAGCCGAGUUAAAUGGGCUAGCCCAAUGUAUUAAGACUUAUUUAUUUAACUCAUAUAAAUUGGACAUGUACAAUUGAUCUAAUUAUAUUAGCCCAUAAUAUUUAUUUGGACCAAAAUAUAUUUAAUUUAAUGUAUAGUCCAAACUAUUUUUAUGAAUUUAAUUCUCAUAAAAUUUAUAUGUCUACAAAUGCCCCUACUUUUAGACUAAUCGAAACUCAAAAAUUGGACUUGAAGUACACAUAGAAGAUAUUUUUCAUCUUAAAAGUUAUCCGGAAUUGAACUUUCUCUUUCCUUGAAUCAUGAAAAUAAUUUCCAUAUUACUAAUGGAAUGUACAAGAAUAUAUAAUGACCAAACAUUAGUCAUCAUAGGACAACUUUGUGAUAACUUUUGUCGUUCUUUACAUUAAAGAAAAGUUUUCAUUUUAAUUUGACAUAGCAAGUUGUAAUACCAAGGCAUGUAAGUAUCCAUGAUUAGAAGACAUUUAUCCAUAUAGCAUUGCCGUCUCGAUCACCGAACAUACCAGGAGUGCUUGAAAAACUCCAAAUCCUACUUGAACUCUGCAUUAUGAGUAAGCAACCUGGCACAUUAACUGAAUCCUUCUAGGAGACCAAUUGUAUAAUAUUCUAACUCCCACAUCGUUAAUAUGCUCUUGCACGAAGUCUCUGACAUCUAUAUAUAUAUGGAUACAUGCUCUCCAAUCGUGAAUAUCAAUUCCUUGCAAGCUUGUACGAAUUUCUGUUUGACAGGUAAAAAUAUUUUGCCUUCUCUUUUUUGCGUAAUUUCUUCUCGUCUUUUUUUUUUUUGCAUUCCAAGUAAGGAUAAAUGCUUUCAUGCACGAAGAAGGUGAUCUUAGGGUGUGAGGAGAUGAGUAUCCAUACCCGCUCAAAUAUCGGAGAGAUUACUCUCAAGGUGACCCAAAUAUCGGAGAGAUUACUCUCAAGGUAGCCCGACUAUCAGAGAGAUUACUCUCAAGGUGGCCCGACUAUCGGAGAGAUUACUCUCAAGGUGACCCAACUAUCAGAGAGAUUACUCUCAAAGUGGCCCGAUAACCAAAGAGAUUACUCUCAAAGUGACCCGAUUAUCGGAGAGAUUACUCUCAAGAUGGCCCGACUAUCGGAGAGAUUACUUUCAAUGUGGUCCGACUAUCGAAGAGAUUACUCUCAAGGUAUGAGGGGAUGGAUACUCACCCCCGCUCAAAAAUUGGAGUCCAUUUCAGGACGCAAAGGUUCAUACGACAUAUUGAAGUACAAGUUCAUGGCAACAAAUAGAUGGAGAAAUCCUCAACAUCAUAUGGAGGACAUACCCAUGGCAGCAUAUAGAAGGGUAAAUCCAUAAACAGGCCAACUUAAGGUACAAAGGGACUUAAAUGUCCGCCUUAAGAUUGAAAAGUUAUAGUUUAUUUUAAGGACAAACCCGCAAAGAGGCCAACUUAAGGUGCAAAGGGACUUAACGUCUAUCUUAAGAUUGGAAAAUUAUAGUUCCUUUUAAGGACAAACCCACGAAGAGGCCAACUUAAGGUGAAAAUGGACUAACAUGUCCACCUUAAGAUUGGAAAAUUAGAAAGCUUCAACUCGAAGACUUGGUCGACUUGAUGACAUCCACUUGAACACUUGGCGGACUUUGAUGCGAAGACUUUGAGGGUUGAAAUGUUUCAACUUGAAGAUCGGAGGGUUUGAGGACCUCAACUUGAAGAAUGAUAGACUUGAAGACUUGGAGGCUUAUAUAUUUCGACUUGAAUACCGAAGAACUUGAAAACCGGCAAACUUAAAGAUUUGGCAAAAAUGAAGACAUAGUGAAUCCUCGGACUUCAAUGCAAAUGCUUGACAACCUCCUAAAAGAUAUUAAUCAUUCCAUUGAAGAUACCAAUUUACCACAGCGGCUUGUGCCCUUUAAAUCAAAUGAGAUCCAAAGUUUAACAGAAGAAUGAUAUCUCAGCUCGAUUUUCAAGUGCUGAUUGAAUGGAUUACAUUCCAUCGUACUUCAUUCAGACAAUGAUUGGGGGAUUAUGUAUCUUUUGAACUUAUGCGACUGAACUCAGAAUGAAACUCUAAGCUUCCUACAUAUCUCGGUAAAGAGGAUCAAUUCAUAUCGUAGUUCAGAAUGGGUGAUUUUUUUAUGUCCUAAUUUUUGCCUAAGCCGCCUCUUUCGAGGUUUUCAACUUAGCAGACUUUUAUUUUUUUUGGGCCGUAUAUAAUUUAGAUUCAUGUGGGCCAGGAGUGCAGGAACAUGCAGUUAAGGCUCGUGUGUCAAGGAGCGUAACGACUUGCAAUUUAAGCUCGUAUUUAGAGGAUCUUUGCAACUUGAAGAUUUUUCUCAAAUUUGAAGAGCUUCAUGACAUGUAGUUUAGGCUCGUGCAUCCAGGAGUAUUGUAAUUUGAAUAUUUAGCUUACAAUUCAAAAUGCUUCGCAACUUAAAGACUUGCUCAAUUUUGAAGAGCUUUGCACUUGAAGUUCCGCUCGAAUUUGAAGAUCUUAGUGACAUGAAAAUUUAGCUCAAAGUUGAAGAGCUUUGCAACCUAAACCCUUUGCUCAAAUUUGGAGAGAUUUAAAACUUGAAAACUUUUCUCGAAUUUGAAGUGCUUUAUAUAUUGAAGUUUGGCUCGAAUUUAAAAAGCAGUGCAACUUGAACUCUUUGACUUUGAAGAACUUUCGACUUGAGUCUUUGCUCGAAUUUAAAGAACUUUGCAACUUAAACACUUUGCUUGAAUUUGAAGAGCUUUACAACUUGAAGACUUUGCUCAAAAUUGAAGAGCUUUACAACUUGAAGACUUUGCUCAAAAUUGAAGAGCUUUACGUCUUGAAGUUUGGCUCGAAUUUAAAAAACUUUGCAACUUGAAGUCUUUGCUCGACUUUGAAGAGCUUUCGACUUGAGUCUUUGCUCGAAUUUGGAGAACUUUUCAACUUGAACACUUUGCUCGAAUUUGAAGAGAUUUACAACUAGAAUGCUUUGCUCGAAUUUGAAGAGCUUUAUGUCUUAAAAACUUUGCUUGAAUUUGAAGAGCCUUACAUCAUAAAGAUUUAGUUCAAAGUUGGGGAGCUUCAUGACAUACAAUAUAUACUUGUGUGGUAAGAAGAAUUAUAACUUGUAGUUUAGGCUCGUGCAUUGAGGAGCGUUAAAACUUGCAGUUUAGGCUCGUGCAUUGAAGAGAGUUAAAACAUGUAGUUUAGGCUCGUGCAUUGAGUAGUAUUACAACUUGCAAUUUAGGCUCGUGCGUUGAGGAGCAUAAUGACAUGAAUAGACUCUUCAAUUUCACUUUCAGAUGAAACUUGCCCCCAUCCCCUCCUUCUUAUUUUUCUUCUUCGUCGUAAGGCUCAAAGACAAGUAGCCUUUGGUCUCCACUUGUGGCCAUAUUUAGUUCCAUAUCAUGAGCACGGGUUACUAGUUCUUCAAAUGUUUUAGGCUUUAUGCCUUGUAAGAUAUAGUAAAGACUCCAAUGCAUGCCUUGAAUGCACAUUUCGAUGCCAGAAGUUUUGCUAAGGUGAUCUUUACAGUUGAGGCUUAAGCUCCUCCAGUGGUUGAUGUCAAUUAUUGGCUCAUCCUUUCUUUGAUGAGCGUUUAUAAGUUUGAUCAUCCUUACGAUGCACCUUGUGCUAUAAAAACGAUUGAGAAACUCUUGCUCUAGCUGCUUGUUACACCCCGUAAGUUGUUUUUUGUUCCAGUAUGUUUACUCGUCCUCAAAAUGUAAUCAAAUGCUUAUUUACUAUUUUUCUCUUUUUACUUGUCCUUUGAACAAAAAAAGAAGUAGGCUAAAGCUACUAAAUGAAUCCAAAAAAUAAAGGUUUAACGUACUGUUACCAUUUUUGUUUUUAAAAGAAAAUAAAGGUAUUGAGCAACUUAUCGGAUUUAUUAUCCUGGACUUUGAAAUGUUCUACUCUUUAGUUUGUUAUAACUAAAAUUUCAUGUGGACGAGGAUGAUAUACUAUUCCUACUUCCUUGAUACCUUGAUUAGUGAAUCCGAACUGUUGUCCAUCUCUCAUAAGAUAGGUUCUACCUAAAUCUAAGCAGACUUAACACUUGUACUCUGAUCCUUGAUUACUGAAACCAAAGUUGUAUCCGGCUCAGUAGAUAGUUGCUCGGUGAGCUCCGGAAAUCAAAGUAUGUUAAAAUGAUCUCCAAUGAAUGAGUGCACACGACCACCAUUAUUUCUCUUUCUUGCUUUCCAGUUUCCACCAAAAACAUCUAAUUCUUUUUCCCUAUCUUUCUAUCUUUGCCAUAAAACCUUCUGAAAGUAGACCUCCAAAGUCAUUGAAUUGCUUGGCUCUGCCUGUGUAUUGGGAAAAAACUGAAUUUAUAUAUUGAAGAUGACGUGUCAUGACACGUGGACUGGUCAAAUGGUCAAAAUACGGUAAUCAACCAAGAAGGCACGGGCGACAACAGAUACGGAGAGAAGAAAGUUAAAUAGGCACGAGUCGUUAUUCAAGAGGCACGAGUUUCGUACCUAUAUAAGUCAUUUCAAACCCCGAAGAUCGGAAAGGAUUGAAGAUAUGAAUCUGAUGACGCAAAAGAGUCCAAAUUCAGCAUUAAAUAUCAAAUACGUGAGAGAAUUUGUAUUUAAUAGGAAUGAUUGAGUAACGUUUCUUUUAAUGUCAUUUAUUGCUCAUAAUUGCCUCAUUAAGACAAAGGCAUUGCACCUUCUCCUAGAAUCAACUAUAAAAUGAGAAGGACUUAAAAUCUGUAGAGAAAAAGAUUAUUGAGACUUUACUGAAAUACAAAACUAUUUACUGCUUUAUCAUCGUUCUCAAAAAUCUUUUAUUAUUUUCGUCUCCUGAUUAUCAGUAACCCGAAUUUCUCUUCGUUUCUAGCUUUGACCAAAGACUCAGAUUUUUGGUUAAACAAAUUGGUUCCAUUAUCGGGAAACUGAUAAUCUUUUCUUUUAAGCUACGCUCUAUCCGUUGUUAUCAUCAUGUCAAACAACAACAACCACAGUGAAAACACCUUGGGAAACCAUGAAAAUCAAACCCAUCAAAAUCAAGGAGAUUUACAGAACAUUGACAUGGUUCCCUCUCCUCAAAAUUCACCACGCCAAUCUCGUGAAGGCACUCCUGAAUCUCGUGCUGAGCAAUCUGAACAUUUUGAAGGGGUAGAUGAAGCUUUACAAAAAGUAAUUGAUGCACAGGUUAGCAAAGCUCUUCAGGCUCUAGUUAGUUGAUUACCUGUUGCCCCAUCCACACCUACGCCCAAUAAUAAUACAUUGGAAAAUCCUCGUUCUGGCCUUGUUAAUUCUGGAAAUGGAGGAACCCCCAGUGAACUACAGGAAGAAGAACCAGGUAAUUUAAAUAAUUCUCAUUUGCAAAAUUUAGUACUAACUUUGCAGAAAUAGCUUAAGGAGAAGAAUGAGCGCAUUGAGCAAAUCCCGGGAGUUCCACCUGUAAUUAAAGGAGUGUAUAUGGACAAAUAUUCACAACAACCUUGGAAGCCAAGUGCUUCUCCCCUUCCAAUUCCCAAAAAGUUCAAAAUGCCCGACACCCCAAAAUACGAUGGUACAACAGAUCCACGUAACCACGUAACUGUAUUUACAACAGGCGUGAAAGGCAAUGACUUGACAAAACAAGAAAUCGAAUCAGUACUGGUCAAGAAAUUUGGCGAAACACUCACCAAGGGGGGCAUUAUCCUGGUAUUCUCUCUUACCUGAAAAUUCUAUAAAUUCUUUUGCUGAGCUUGCAGAUUCUUUUAUUAAAGCACACUCGGGAGCUCAAAAGGUUGAGAAAAGAAUGGAGGAUAUUUUCAAAUUCAAACAAGGGGAUUCCGAGUUGCUCAGGGAUUUUGUUGAUAGAUUCCAACAUGAAAGAAUGACUUUACCUCGUGUACCUGAUAAUUGGGCUGCAAUAGCUUUUGCAAGCAACUUGAAUGACAAAAGCUCAGAAGCCACGAAAAGACUUAAAGAAAGCCUUCGAGAAUUCCCUGCAACCACGUGGAACGACGUUUAUAACAGGUAUAGUACGAAGUUGCGAAUUGAAGAAGAUACCAUACCUCAGUUUCAUCAUGAAGAAAUGAGCAAUCCCAGGAGAUCAGAAACCGAAAAAAGAUCAGGUAAAAACAGGUACGAUCCAUAUAUGGGACCUGCAGGGAAAGACUCACGGUCAAAGUAAGAUAGUCAACGAUAUGAUCAAAAAUGGAGGAACAGAGAAUCUGGUUCUUCAUCAAGAUUCACGAAUGACCGAAACAGACAAGAAUCACGAGAUGAUGACCGAAGUUUAAAGGCAAGAUUCGGUGGAUAUAACUUUAAUGUCACUACCUCCGAGCUCGUAGCUGUUUUGAGGAGCAUGGGAGAUAAGGUACGAUGGCCAAAAGAGAUGCGGUCAAAUCCAAAUAGACGCAAUCCAGACCAUUGGUACGAAUUCCAUGAUGAUCACGGGCAUAAAACUUCAGAAUGUAGAUUCUUACAAAGUGAAGUGGAUCAUCUAUUGAAACAAGGAUAUCUCACUGAGUUAUUUAGUGAGAAAGGUAAGCAAGCUUAUAUGAAAAAUAGGCAAGAGCCACCAAAGCCCCCUUCACCCAAGAGAACCGUGAAUGUUAUAAGUGGAGGAGAAGAUAUUCACGGUGUAACAUAUACGGCUUCCAACAAGGUUUCUAAAGCAACAAUAACACACGGGAAACAGGUACGACAGGUUUUGGAAAACGAAAGUAUUUCUUUCGAUGAUGCAGAUACCGAAGGAGUAAUGACCCCACAUAAGGACGCACUGGUAAUAUCUUUACUUGUACAUGAUACUAAUGUAAAACGAGUUUUGAUUGAUCCAGGAAGUUCCGUAAAUAUUAUAUUAUUGAGGGUACUACGCGAAAUGCAAGCUGAAGACAAAAUGAUACCUAAGGCACAUACCUUGUCCAGGUUCGACAAUUCAAGUGUGGUAACAAAAGGAGAGGUAAUUCUAACAACUUUUGCUGCAAUGUUGUUAAAGAAACUAAAUUUCAGGUAGUAGAUAUGGAAAUGGCUUACAAUAUGAUCAUGGGGAGACCGUGGAUACAUGAUAUGGAUGCUGUCCCAUUAACUCUACAUCAAGUUAUUAAAUUCCCAUCACCGUGGGGAAUUUUCCAAAUUCGUGGGGAUCAACAGACAGCUAGGAGUAUCAAUGCUGUAACAGGUACGAGCACCGUAAAUAAAGAAAAAUAGCAAUUACAGGAAACAGUUGAGGGUAUCAAGGAUCAAACCUUAGCUGAACAAGAAAGGACAGAUUUAGACUCGAGACCUGAUACAAUUCAAGAAUGCACACGGUACGUUCAAGCAACGGAGGAAUCAAAUGAUGAAGAGAUGCGGGUGAACCUUGAUUUGCUCGAAGGAAGAAGAGAAGCUGCAUUAAUAAGGAUGGCAGUACAAAAGCAAGUAAUCGAUCGGUAUUAUAACAGGAAGCACGCCNNNNNNNNNNNNNNNNNNNNNNNNNGGAGCAUACGAGUUGGAGACAAUGGAUGGCAAGGUUCUACCAUCACAUUUGAAUGUUGUCCACCUAAAGAGAUAUUAUUUAUGAGAAAAUAUCUACGAUCAGGUAUCGCUAUAUUAGAAUUUUUUCCUUUGAAUUGUUAAAAUUCUACUAACGAUUUUAGAUGCUAGGCAAAAACCCUAACUCGUGCCAAAUGAUGAGUCACGACCUGCACGGCAAAGCGGAAUAUUCUAAAAUUCCCAGCCCAGUGUUACAAAUUAAUCUAAUGGAAAUAUACACGAGUUAGGCAGUCUUCAUCUCUAAUCGCACCUCUGAGUUCCAUAUGUGUUUCUAUUCCAGGAAAAGGACUAAAAUUGAGAGAAACAAACAAAUGCUCGAGGCUUCAUAUGUCAUCACUCAAACACUUGGGGGACUACAUAUUAUACACAGAUACGUGCAAAUUGUACACAGAUACAAAGUGGAAAGUGUUGAGCAAAAGUUACGAAGUUUCCAGCAUUCAUCAUAGUGUUCUUUCCCAUCAGAACAAAGGGAGAUUGAUAUCAUCAUAGUGUCUCAAACUCAUGAGAACAACAGAGUCACCUCUCAAAUUCAUGAGAGCAACAGAGUCACCUCUCAAACCCUUCUUAAUACAUGAAGAUAGGGUCAUGACUAUACACUGAAACGGGUUAUGAGGAAAAACCUUGUUUAUUUUACAUUCAUUUUGUAAAAAUCUGUUACAAGAAAAAUAGUUACGAGAAAGUUAUAGAUGUAUUUUAAUACAUAUAAUAUUCAAAAGCUUGUCCAAGUUCAUGAAUAAAAACUUGUCAAAGUUGUUUCAAACAAAACAUGUGUAUUCCUAUUUCUUUCAUCGUAUUGUAACACUAUUAUGAAGUUGAGACGUCUUCUUCAUUAAGUGUCGAUAUAUAUAAAAGGGCCCUCUUUUAUAAACCUCAUGUUAAUAAGUCAUGGGAAGAAUCAUAAAGCAUUUUCAAAGGAUAAAAAUGCUAAACUAUUCUAUAAGUCCUAAAUAAAUAAGGAAAAGGCAAGAAUAGAACACAUUGAAGUACUAACAAACUUCUUAAUAUAAUUAAAAAAGACUAAGUAGAAACUUAGUCAAUAAAAGUUUAUACAAGUGCCCCAUUAUGAUAACUGGUGACUUUCACCAAAAAUCCCUUAAAAACUAACCAAGAGAUAAAUCACCAAUAAAACAAAACAAAUAAAAACAAGGAUCUGGAAACAUAAACUGGUCACUAAGAGGCUGGAAUAUCAGAAGAUGCUAUAUCAGCUUCACUUUCAGGAACAACCCUAGAUAUGGUGGUAACCUCUGAAGAAGCAGCAACAGGAGCGGGUUCAGCUGAGAUAGAAGUUUCACCCUCGGGAGCUGGAAUUGUAGUAUUUUCAACUUCAACUGUCAUAGCAACGGCUUCGUCAGUUAAAGGUUCUUCAGCCAUGGGAACUUCAAAUUACCGGAGAAGGAGAGUCAAGUGGUUGUUGGGUUCUCUCAAUGGUAUCUAAAGCUUUGGCCAACUCUAAGCUUAAAUCAAAGUUUUCUUGACUGGCCUCCAUUAAAGCAUCACGACGAGAGUUUAGAAAAGCCCAACUCACCUCUAUGUUUAAAUUCUCCUCAAGAAGUUCAUACUCCCUUUCCCACAUAGCAAGAUCAUUCUUUAACACUUGAUUUUCAGCUUAAGAGGAAUCAAAGGAAGCUUCGAGGGAGGCAUGAGAACUCUCUAAGGCACGUACCUUAUCAGAAGAGAUUUUUAAAUCAGCUUGAGCUUGAGUCAAGCUUUGCACUAAUUCCCUUGCAUACUCUUCUUUCUUGGCCAAGAGUGCCUUAAGUUCUCUAAUCUCUUCACUGCACUUUGAUAAUUGUUUUGAAAAUGAACACUUAAGACGCUCCUUAUCUUUUUCAAAUUGGCUUGAAGAAGCCUUGGAAACUUCUAAUUCAGAAGUCAGACCUCGCUUUUGCUGCUCCAGGUGAUUUCUACUCUCUUGCAAUUCUUCUAUAGUUCCCUGAGCAUUCUCAAACUGCUUUUUCCAAUUUAGCUGCUUCUAGCUGGGCUCCCCUGGCUAUUUCCUCAGCCUCGUGGAUAGACUUUUCAGACUCACGGGCUUUCCUCUCCAGAAGAGAAAUUCUUCCCAUCAAUUCUGUACCAAUGAGGUUAGCCUACAGUGACAACUCACGGAAGUAAGAAUUUGGACAUAAAAAAAACUUGUUAGUAAGUAAAGGAAGAAUACCUUCAAAGUAGAAUGUACAAUGUCAUUCAUCAAAGUGAAGCAACUAUGGCUGUCCAUCUUCUUCUUCUCAAUAUCUCCAAUCAAAGGCCUAAGCCAGUCAUCUACUCCACCAGACUUUCUUAAAAGACUGUUAUUGGCAGGAACUUCAAGUGUAACGUUCCUCAUAGCCGAGCUUCUACUUCUAGUGCCCUCCUCUGCAUUUUGAACAGAGGAAGGGGGAGCUAUAGAAGGAAGAGCAGUAGAAGAAGUGAAAAUAACAGGAGUCAAAGGACUCGAAGCAGGUAAGGGAGAAGGAACAGAUAGAAUGGGCAAGGAAGCACUUGAAAUCAAUGGAUAAAUAGAAGGAAUGGGAACAUAGGAAGAAAGAGGAACUUUAUUCAAAACUGGACCUAGUUUACCACUUUCAAAACCACAAACGAAAAGACGUUGAACAGACUCAUUGGUAUCCAUUAGAGUGGUUUCAUUAUCAGAAGGAAUAUGAACAGGUUCGGUAAGAGAGGCAUGAACAGGGGUAACUUCAGCUUCAUCCUCGGAAACGAUGCAUCUCCUGGCUCUUGGUCUAGCCAUCAAAGAGGUGUCUUCAUAUUCAUCGUCCUCAGAAUCGUCUUCUACAACUUUCCUCUUCGACAGUCUAGCUUGAGUUCUCUCCAAAGAAAAUGAAGUACCAGAAGAGGCUCGAAGGGCAGUAGCCACUUCAGCUGUCAUUCCUCGAAUAGCAAAUCCUGACAAAAAGAAGGAUAAAAAGUUAGAAACAAGAAAGGAUUUAACAUACGGAAAAACAUAAAGAAAUGCAUACCGUGAGUUUUCACUUUCCAACCAUACAAAUUGGAAAUGGAUUUCCAAGUUCUCGCUUCCAUAGGCACGACUUUCAAGUUAAGUCUACCCAACCACGGAAAUUAGGAACGGGCUCCACAUCUCCCAUGGUUGCUACAGAAAAGCCAAAAAGGAUAAAAUGAGAAAAGAAGUUGAAAUUCUUAAUGAUAGGAAUGGUAAGUAAAAAAAAAACUUACGUGCAAAGUUCCACUUCUCAGGGAAGGGAAUAUUUGUUUCACCCACCAAAUCAACUGUGUGUACCACAACAUAACUAGUGUACCACCCCCAAUCCUUAUCAUCUUCAGGGCUUACCAAGGAGCUUUUACUUCUUGCAGUUAGAGUGAAGUCUCCAUUGCGGAAUAGCUUGGGGUGGUAAAGAUGAAUAAGGUGGGGGAAGGAAAAAUCAACAUUAGCUUUGCCUGAUAAAUAUCUCAAACAAGCCACUGCUCUCCACACAAGGGGGCCAAUUUGUCCCAAACAAAUUUUGAAAAAGCGACAAAAAUCAAGUAUAACUGGGUCAAUAGCAGGAAUAAAUCCCAAAGUGAAGGGGUAAGUAUAAAUAAAAGAAAAUCCAAUCCUAAAAGAAGAAAUUCUUUGGUUUGGAUUAGUGAUCACUAUACGAAGAUCACUUCUCCAGUUGCAAUCUUUUCGAACAAUAGAAAUCAAAGGUUCAGUAAUUAGAGAAGGAAAAGUAUCAGCCUUCUCUAAAUUAACAACUUGUUCACGAAGAGAUUUUCUAUCAUUCUCAAAGGGUAAGUCAUUAGGCACUAUUUCUUCAACUGAAGGCUCUUGAAGAGGCUCAGAAAGUUCUUUACCUUUAGAAGAAGUUUUCUUAGUGAUAGAACCUCUAGAAAUAGUGCCAGAGCUAGAAGAAGGUAUGAUGGAACCAGAGGCACCACCACGAACAGAUCCUAGGCUACGAAGCCUGCCUCUUCUAACCCUUCUAUGUCUUACAGGGGCGUUGGGGAAGCUAUCAAGAAUUGGGACUCUCUUAGGGUUAGGAUUCGGAUACGUCAUUAGAAAAAGGAUGAACUAAAGGAGAAAGGAACAAAAGUAAAGAGUAAAGUAUCUGUUAAGGGUUUAUGAAGAAGAAGACAAAGGAGAAAAGGUUAAAUAUGUAUAUAAAAGCAACUGUCGAACAAAGAAGUGUAAUGAUGGAAAGCCUAUAUUAAAGGCAACUAUCACUUCGUGAAUAUAAGGUAUGAAUAAGCCUUGAAAAAAGGCUGCAAAAUUACAGAGCCAAUCAGAAGGUGAUGCGUGUGCAGAGCAUUAAAUAGAAAAGACAAUUGAAGCGUCAGUAUGGUAAAAAAUUCCCUUUUUGUGAAGAUCCACUUCCCAAAUAUUUAAUUGAUAAAUAAAUGGAAAGUGGGGGGACUAUCUGUAUUGGGAAAAAACUGAAUUUAUAUAUUGAUGAUGACGUGUCAUGACACGUGGACUGGUCAAAUGGUCAAAAUACAGUAAUCAACCAAGAAGGCACGGGCGACAACAGAUACGGAGAGAAGAAAGUUAAAUAGGCACGAGUCAUUAUUCAAGAGGCACGAGUUUUGUACCUAUAUAAGUCAUUUAAAACCCCAAAGAUCGGAAAGGAUUGAAGAUAUGAAUCUGAUGAUGCAAAAGAGUCCAAUCAGCAUUAAAUAUCAAAUACGUUAGAGAAUUUGUAUUUAAUAGGAAUGAUUGAGUAACGUUUCUUUUAAUGUCAUUUAUUGCUCAUAAUUGCCUCAUUAAGAUAAAGGCAUUACACCUUCUCCUAGAAUCAACUAUAAAUGAGAAGGACUCGACAUCUGUAGAGAAAAAGAUUAUUGAGACUUUACUGAAAUACAAAACUAUUUACUGCUUUAUCAUCGUUCUAAAAAAUCUUUUAUUAUUUUCGUCUCCUGAUUAUCAGUUACCCGAAUUUCUCUUCGUUUCUAGCUUUGACCAAAGAUUCAGAUUUUUGGUUAAACAGCCUGGAUGCUGAUUCUUGUAGCUGAGUGAGCUUCUAGAAAAGUGUUGUUAAAAGCAAGCAUUUUAUCACUUAAAAGCUAUAGAGUGUCAAAGCAAGAAAUUGUAGUAAGAUGGAUUGUGUAAAUGAUUCAGAGACCCUGGUAAUAAUGUAUCGAGAAUCUGCAUAUAUUGUAAACAGGCACAAUCUUUGUUCUAUUCUAAUUCUAUAAAAUUUACCUUUUAAAAAAAAUAAAUGUUUA